CCUACGGGUGGCUGCAGUGGGGAAUAUUGGACAAUGGGGGCAACCCUGAUCCAGCCAUGCCGCGUGUGUGAAGAAGGCCCUCGGGUUGUAAAGCACUUUCAGUGAGGAAGAACGCCUGGUGGUUAAUACCCAUCAGGAAAGACAUCACUCACAGAAGAAGCACCGGCUAACUCCGUGCACAGCAGCCGCGGUAAUACGGAGGGUGCGAGCGUUAAUCGGAAUUACUGGGCGUAAAGCGCGCGUAGGUGGCUUGAUAAGCCGGUUGUGAAAGCCCCGGACUCAACCUGGGAACGGCAUCCGGAACUGUCAAGCUAGAGUGCAGGAGAGGAAGGUAGAAUUCCCGGUGUAGCGGUGAAAUGCGUAGAGAUCGGGAGGAAUACCAGUGGCGAAGGCGGCCUUCUGGACUGACACUGACACUGAGGUGCGAAAGCGUGGGUAGCAAACAGGAUUAGAUACCCCUGUAGUC
rnacentral:rRNA from 1 species